UACGUAGGGGGCAGGCGUUGUCCGGAUUUACUGGGCGUAAAGGGCGCGUAGGCGGCUUGUCAAGUCACUUGUGAAAUCUCUGGGCUUAACCCAGAACGGCCAAGUGAAACUGACAUGCUAGAGUGCAGAAGGGGCAAUCGGAAUUCUUGGUGUAGCGGUGAAAUGCGUAGAGUAUCAAGAGGAACACCUGAGGUGAAGACGGGUUGCUGGGCUGACACGUGACGCUGAGGCGCGAAGCCAGGGGAGCAAACGGG
rnacentral:rRNA from 1 species